GUCCACAGUUGCCAGCAUACCCUCCGGGGUGGAUGGGUACACUGUGGAGACCGCCGCUGCUAAAGCGGAGGAAGGGAGUGGGCAACGGUAGGUCAGUAUGCCCCGAAUCUCCCGGGCUACACGCGGGCUACAAUGGUUGGUACAAUGGGCAUCUACCCCGAAAGGGGAAGGAAAUCUCUUAAAGCCAAUCGUAGUUCGGAUUGAGGGCUGCAACUCGCCCUCAUGAAGCUGGAAUCCGUAGUAAUCGUGAAUCAGAAUGUCACGGUGAAUACGUUCCCGGGCCUU
rnacentral:rRNA from 1 species